rnacentral:lncRNA from 1 species
UAUUCUCCUUCCAUUCUUCCUCUCUCUAUCUUUCUUCUCUCAUCCCUCCAUUACUGACUUCCUUGCCAUCCACCACCAUUGCUGGUCUCCUCACCAUCUGUUGCCACCGCUGAUCUCCAUGUCUCCCCUGCUGUCAACUUCACUUGUUCUUGUCCUCCUCUUUCACCCCUCUCCCAUCUCCUUUCCUCCACCGAGACCUGAUGGCACCUGCUAAAGAGUGAGCCAUAUCUAGAUCAAAAAGCUGUACAAUCUCAUCACCAUACAAAGUGUUAUUGAUAUUAAGAUCACCUCUAUAAACAUUUAUAACACUAUUUAUAUGGAAAUAAGAAGGCUUAAUGGACAACGAACGAAACUACCACAGGCUAUGAUAAGUCCAACCAUCCCCAGGG